GCAGUGUGAGCACCAAACCAAAUCUCCAGGUGCUCUCAUGAGAACAAGACCGAAAAACUUAUGUGCAUCCCUGUGUAUAUAAUGAUUUAUAC